UACAGAGGUCCCAAGCGUUGUUCGGAUUCAUUGGGCGUAAAGGGCUCGUAGGUGGCUUUGUAAGUCGGAGGUGAAAGACCACGGCUCAACCGUGGAAACGCCUUCGAAACUGUGAAGCUUGAGGCUGGGAGAGGAAAUCGGAAUUCCUGGUGUAGCGGUGAAAUGCGUAGAUAUCAGGAGGAACACCGGUGGCGAAGGCGGAUUUCUGGACCAGUUCUGACACUGAUGAGCGAAAGCCAGGGGAGCAAACAGG
rnacentral:rRNA from 1 species